UACGGGGGGGGCAAGCGUUACUCGGAAUUACUGGGCGUAAAGCGUGCGCAGGCGGCUUUGCAAGACAGAUGUGAAAUCCCCGGGCUCAACCUGGGAACUGCAUUUGUGACUGCAUGGCUAGAGUGCGGCAGAGGGGGAUGGAAUUCCGCGUGUAGCAGUGAAAUGCGUAGAUAUGCGGAGGAACACCGAUGGCGAAGGCAAUCCCCUGGGCCUGCACUGACGCUCAUGCACGAAAGCGUGGGGAGCAAACAGG
rnacentral:rRNA from 1 species